rnacentral:rRNA from 1 species
AUUGAACGCUGGCGGCAUGCUUUACACAUGCAAGUCGAACGGUAACAGGCCUUCGGGUGCUGACGAGUGGCGAACGGGUGAGUAAUGCAUCGGAACGUGCCCAGAGGUGGGGGAUAACGCAGCGAAAGCUGUGCUAAUACCGCAUGUGAUCUGAGGAUGAAAGCGGGGGACCAAGCAGCAAUGUUUGGCCUCGCGCCUCUGGAGCGGCCGAUGUCAGAUUAGUAGUUGUGGGUAAGCCUACCAAGCCGACGAUCUGUAGCUGGUCUGAGAGGACGACCAGCCACACUGGGACUGAGACACGGCCCAGACUCCUACGGGAGGCAGCAGUGGGGAAUUUUGGACAAUGGGCGCAAGCCUGAUCCAGCAAUGCCGCGUGCGG